rnacentral:rRNA from 1 species
UACGAAGGGGGCUAGCGUUGCUCGGAAUCACUGGGCGUAAAGCGCACGUAGGCGGAUUGUUAAGUCAGGGGUGAAAUCCUGGAGCUCAACUCCAGAACUGCCUUUGAUACUGGCGAUCUCGAGUCCGGGAGAGGUGAGUGGAACUGCGAGUGUAGAGGUGAAAUUCGUAGAUAUUCGCAAGAACACCAGUGGCGAAGGCGGCUCACUGGCCCGGUACUGACGCUGAGGUGCGAAAGCGUGGGGAGCAAACAGGGAUUAAGAAACCCCGGUGAGUCCC